rnacentral:rRNA from 1 species
ACUCCUACGGGAGGCAGCAGUGGGGAAUAUUGCACAAUGGGCGCAAGCCUGAUGCAGCCAUGCCGCGUGUGUGAAGAAGGCCUUCGGUUGUAAAUGCANNCUUUCAUGUUGUGAGGAAGGUGGUGUCGUUAAUAGCGGCAUCAUUUGACGUUAGCAACAGAAGAAGCACCGGCUAACUCCGUGCCAGCAGCCGCGGUAAUACGGAGGGUGCGAGCGUUAAUCGGAAUUACUGGGCGUAAAGCGCAUGCAGGUGGUUUGUUAAGUCAGAUGUGAAAGCCCGGGGCUCAACCUCGGAACUGCAUUUGAAACUGGCAGACUAGAGUACUGUAGA